ensembl:snRNA U7 U7 small nuclear RNA
CAGUGUUAACAGCUCUUUUAGAAUUUGUUUAGGAGGUUUUCUGGUUUUCACUGGAACUUCUCCCCA